rnacentral:rRNA from 1 species
AUGAACGCUGGCGGCGUGCCUAAUACAUGCAAGUCGAGCGAACAGACGAGGAGCUUGCUCCUCUGACGUUAGCGGCGGACGGGUGAGUAACACGUGGAUAACCUACCUAUAAGACUGGGAUAACUUCGGGAAACCGGAGCUAAUACCGGAUAAUAUAUUGAACCGCAUGGUUCAAUAGUGAAAGACGGUUUUGCUGUCACUUAUAGAUGGAUCCGCGCCGCAUUAGCUAGUUGGUAAGGUAACGGCUUACCAAGGCAACGAUGCGUAGCCGACCUGAGAGGGUGAUCGGCCACACUGGAACUGAGACACGGUCCAGACUCCUACGGGAGGCAGCAGUAGGGAAUCUUCCGCAAUGGGCGAAAGCUUGACGGAGCAACGCCGCGUGAGUGAUGAAGGUCUUCGGAUCGUAAAACUCUGUUAUUAGGGAAGAACAAAUGUGUAAGUAACGAUGCACGUCUUGACGGUACCUAAGCAGAAAGCCACGGCUAACUACGU